rnacentral:rRNA from 1 species
GACGAACGCUGGCGGCGUGCCUAAUACAUGCAAGUCGAACGCUUUUUCUUUCACCGGAGCUUGCUCCACCGAAAGAAAAAGAGUGGCGAACGGGUGAGUAACACGUGGGUAACCUGCCCAUCAGAAGGGGAUAACACUUGGAAACAGGUGCUAAUACCGUAUAACACUAUUUUCCGCAUGGAAGAAAGUUGAAAGGCGCUUUUGCGUCACUGAUGGAUGGACCCGGGGUGCAUUAGCUGGUUGGUGAGGUAACGGCUCACCAAGGCAACGAUGCAUAGCCGACCUGAGAGGGUGAUCGGCCACACUGGGACUGAGACACGGCCCAGACUCCUACGGGAGGCAGCAGUAGGGAAUCUUCGGCAAUGGACGAAAGUCUGACCGAGCAACGCCGCGUGAGUGAAGAAGGUUUUCGGAUCGUAAAACCCUGUUGUUAGAGAAGAACAAGGAUGAGAGUAGAACGUUCAUCCCUUGACGGUAUCUAACCAGAAAGCCACGGCUAACUACGUGCCAGCCGCCGCUGUAA